rnacentral:sRNA from 1 species
CACAUAAAAUAUAAAACUUAUUUUUUAAAAGAAAAGCAAGAAAGAAAAUCACCAGUCAAUUAGCAUAAUGCAGAGUCUUCCUCUUUUUUACUAUACCACCAACAAAACUGAAAAAAUGACCAAGGUAGUCAAUACCCUACCACCAGAAGCAGGUAGUAAGCUGUAUGACUGCUGGGCCACUUUUAAUCUAACAGCCUGUGGUUCAGCCUGACAGUCCAGACUCUGGAUCUGUCAGUCUAGUGCCAAAAUCAUCUUUCCCAGCAACACACUACAUCAGUGAAAGAUACCACAGGAUGGUUUCAAUAAAGUUCCUGGACAGAGCCUCUUUGUUUGCCUCCCUUCCUGGCAGGAAGUCAUUUGUUGCCUUUUUGGGGCCAUCAUGAUGGGGACACAUGGUUCCCACCAUGGAGUGCAGACAUGAGCUUUAACUUGCCAAUCACACCGAUCACUGUGUGAUUUCUACCCUCGCCUUGUAGUGACAGAGGUAGGAACCCAGGUAUGUUCUCUCCUGUAAAAUGGUUCAAUAUAUACAUGCUAUAAAAUGUAGGUCAAUUAAAGGAUAGGUCCUGACAUCUUGUGGAUGCUUCCAGAAACUAACUAGUUUAAAUAAUUAAAGCAUUGCAUGAUGCUGUUCAAGGUAUAGUUUCAGUGAGUGAUCUUAAAUAGAAGAAAACAAAUACCCAGAAUUUCAUGGGGAUAUAUUUCAGCCCCAUUUAGGGGACAGAGAGGCCUCUGCUUUUUAUUUAGAUCAUCAAAGGAUACAUGAACCCCAAAAGGCCACACUCAUCGCUAAUAUAAUAUUAAAUUCAGAACAGCCAUCUGACCUGAGCUUCAGGCUGAUUCAUAUAAUUACCUAUCAACUGUGUCCACCGGAAUGACUACAUGAACCCUAAUUCCAACCUGUUGAGUUUCAUGGUCCAGUGCUCAGAUCUUUCUUGGAGAAUGAAGGGAUAGCUUUUGACUACAAGGCUCUCCUCUUUUCUUAAUCCCCCACAGGACCAGCUGAGGUUCCAUUCUACCUUUAUAUAUUUCUGCCUUCAUCUUUUUCUUCCAUUUCCUUACAUUGAUGUCAUUUUAAAGCACUCUCAAGUGGUGUCCUUUAUUUCCAAAAGAACUUGGAACACCCACAAGUCUAUGAUAAGUUCCAGAACUUUCCCUUGCAUCUCUGCAAAAUUCAGCUGGUAACAUCUCCCCUCACUUGGCUGAAUCAACUCAGAGGAAAUCACUGUACAAGAUCUCAUCAUAAACGCCUCAUCUCAACUCGCUCCUGUCAACUCUGUCAGGGUAAAGUCCAAGAUUGUUAAUAUGAUGUAUGAGUUUCUGUGUAUGGCCUACACUCAUUUCUGAAGCUUUAUCCCUUCACUCUUGAAGUGUGUGCUGUUUUCCAGUAACCAAGUGAACUUCAAGCUCUUCUUCCACAUCCUGCUGGUCAUGCUCAAAUCAUAGCCUCUUCCUGGAAUGAUUAUUACCCUUUUUGACUUUGAAAGUGGCAAACAAGCCUUAAGUGUCAGCUUCAGCAUAUCUCUUCUGAAAGUUUUUCAUCUGAGCUGUAGUGUUCCCAGUGAUUUCCAGAGCUGCUGUUGACCUCCAGUACUACAAUCAUAGGAAAGUGGAGCAUCAAGGCAGAGUCCCUGCCUGGCAAAGGCAAGCUUUUUGGCUUACAGAAGGAGACUUCUUGUGGUGUCACGUGAUGAAAGGCCAAAGCAGAUCUCGGGAUCUUUUUCAUAGACAGAGAAUCCUGCUCAUUCAUAAGAGCUUUGCUUUGAGGACUCAGAUCCUAACAAUCAUCACACUAAAGGUGUGGGAUUUUACAGACUCAGGUGGGUGUGGGCAACCAUAUGGCAUCUUCCCAUUUAGUUUGGAAUUCCUCUCUGUGUGUGUGUGUGUGUGUGUGUGUGUGUGUGUCCGUGUGUGUGUCUGUGUGUGUGUCUGUGUCUGUGUGUGCACGCACAUAUUGUCUGUGUGUCUCUGUGGGGUGCAAGGGUGGAGACAGGUGUGACUUUGAGUUAUCUUCUUCAAAUGCUCACUACCUUAUUUUUCUAGACAUCUCCCUUCGAACCUGGAACACUGUUUUGAAUAGCUGCCUUGCCGGUGAUUCCCUAGAAUGUCCCUGUCUCUUUAGUCCAGUGCUGGAGUUACAGACACAUGCUACCCCACCUGGAAUUUAUGUGGGUAACGCAUUCCAAACUCAAGUCCUCAUACACGCACAGCAAGCGCUUUACCCAUUGAGUCCUGUCUGCUGCACUGGGCACUCUUAUAGUUCACAUUGUUGUUUUUAGGUUCUCAUAGUCUAUAAAUAUGAUCUUCUGUAUGUAGUGUGUUUUUGCACUAUAUACAUCUAUUAUUAUAUAGAUAGAUAUAUGUGUGCACAGGUCUACAGAAUAUCAAUCAUGUACAAAUAUUUUAGAUAAGACCUUUCUUCAGAAGCGGAAAGGUUUAUGCACCAUUACCAUAGUGACUAUUUGGACCAGCUCUCUCAUUUUAGGAGGGAGGAAACUGUAGCUCAGAGAGUUGGCAAAGCUGCAGCUAGUAAAUUGGUUGGGCUGGAAACCGAGACAGCUAAUAACCUUUCUGGUUUUGUUUGAAGUGUCUUUCAAAAUACCACAAGAACACAUAGAGAACAGAGAUAUAUCUUAACAUUAUUUUCCUAGAAGCUUAAUCUAGAAAGUUUAAUCCAGCCAAGCAGAAGUGGAGCUUCAGUUCCUACUCCUCUCAGUCAGCUUCCUACGCCUAGUAAGUUUUGUCUCAUCUCACGGGCACAUUUCUACAGAGUGAUGCCCAGCAGAAAUAAGUCAUAACCAGUAUCAGCUACAGGAGUCACUGACGGAAAUCCUAACAGACACCACUCCAGCCAUCUUAUUCAUUACCACAGCAGUCAGCAAAACCAGGUUUCCAGGGAGCAUUAGUUUGAGGGAACUCUGCCAAUUGCAGCAUUACUUAGAAGACAUGUUUUGCAUGUUCCUCAAAACCUACUGUCAAACAACCAGAGUGCAUAGAGUUUUCAAAUACUUCAGGUUUGGGUCCAGGCACACAGGACUCAAGCUUAUCCUGUCCAUUGGCACAGCAAGAUCACUUUCCCCUAGGCAACAUCUACUCUCUCCUUUGUUAGAGUACGCCCAUAUAAAUCAUUUGUACUCCUGGGCUUGGGCUCCAACACAAGAUGCCUUUCUUUAUAAGUCUGGGCUUCUAUUUCCAGCAGCCAUUCUUUUUGCUGGGCAAGGAAGGGCACACCAACCAACUCUUAAAACCCAGAAACGACAAAGUUAAGGGUUCACAUUUUAACCUAAUCAUGUUCUCCCUUCUACCCACAGAGCCGUGGCUGACUUCAUAGGGGAAACAUCUUGUACAGAAGAGCCUCACAUUAGAACCAGGGAAGUAGCAAUGAGCCAAGAUCCCUGGAACUGAGUCACUAGCAAACCCAUGCAAUCAAAAUGCCAUGGCUUUGUUUUCCUGGAUGACAAAGCCUUUGAGAGUUUUUAUUAUAUAACCAUAAACUACACUACAACUAGAUGCAAGGAGUGCCUGAAACUCGAAGAAAAAUGGAGCACAAGAGUUGCAAUGUAUUGAAAGCAGGUUUGAUGGAAGAGCACGGUCCCGACCUCCAGAAGGGAUGCACGGUCUUGCAACUUAGAUAAAUUAAUCAGACUUAUGAAAGUUGGCUGUGCUCACUAUGGCGGU